rnacentral:rRNA from 1 species
UACGUAGGGGGCAAGCGUUGUCCGGAUUUAUUGGGCGUAAAGAGCUCGUAGGCGGUUGGGCAAGUCACGUGUGAAAUCUCCACGCUCAACCUGGAGGGGUCAUUCGAUACUGCCGUGACUAGAGUUCGGUAGGGGAGUGUGGAAUUCCUGGUGGAGCGGUGAAAUGCGCAGAUAUCAGGAGGAACACCCGUAGCGAAGGCGGCACUCUGGGCCGAUACUGACACUGAGGAGCGAAAGCGUGGGGAGCGAACAGG